GACGAACGCUGGCGGCGUGCUUAACACAUGCCAGUCGAACGGAAAGGCCCUGCUUUUGUGGGGUGCUCGAGUGGCGAACGGGUGAGUAACACGUGAGUAACCUGCCCUUGACUUUGGGAUAACUUCAGGAAACUGGGGCUAAUACCGGAUAGGAGCUCCUGCUGCAUGGUGGGGGUUGGAAAGUUUCGGCGGUUGGGGAUGGACUCGCGGCUUAUCAGCUUGUUGGUGGGGUAGUGGCUUACCAAGGCUUUGACGGGUAGCCGGCCUGAGAGGGUGACCGGCCACAUUGGGACUGAGAUACGGCCCAGACUCCCACGGGAGGCAGCAGUGGGGAAUAUUGCACAAUGGGCGGAAGCCUGAUGCAGCAACGCCGCGUGCGGGAUGACGGCCUUCGGGUUGUAAACCGCUUUCGCCUGUGACGAAGCGUGAGUGACGGUAAUGGGUAAAGAAGCACCGGCUAACUACGUG
rnacentral:rRNA from 1 species